GACUAACGCUGGCGGCGUGCCUAACACAUGCAAGUCGAACGAGUUGUAUAUAGUAGCAAUAUUGUAUACGGCAAGUGGCGAACGGGUGAGUAACACGUAGAUAAGUCUGCCUUUCAGACGGGGACAACUCAGGGAAACUUGUGCUAAUACCCGAUGAGACUACGAGGGGGGACUUUCGUAGCCAAAGGUGGGGGCAACCUCACGCUGAAAGAUGAGUCUGCGUCCUAUCAGCUGGUUGGUGGGGUAAAAGCCUACCAAGGCGAAGACGGGUAGCCGGCCUGAGAGGGUGAACGGCCACACUGGGACUGAGACACGGCCCAGACUCCUACGGGAGGCAGCAGUGAGGAAUUUUCCGCAAUGGGCGCAAGCCUGACGGAGCGACGCCGCGUGAGGGAUGACGGCCUUCGGGUUGUAAACCUCUUUUAUUAGGGAAAAAGACAUUUGUGCUAAUACCACGGAUGUUUGAUUGUACCUGUUGAAUAAGCCCCGGCUAACUACGUG
rnacentral:rRNA from 1 species